rnacentral:rRNA from 1 species
UACGUAGGGUGCAAGCGUUGUCCGGAAUUAUUGGGCGUAAAGAGCUCGUAGGCGGCUUGUCGCGUCGUCCGUGAAAACCUGCAGCUCAACUGCAGGCUUGCGGUCGAUACGGGCAGGCUCGAGUUCGGUAGGGGAGACUGGAAUUCCUGGUGUAGCGGUGAAAUGCGCAGAUAUCAGGAAGAACACCCGUGGCUAAGGCGGUUCUCUAGUACGGUACUGACGCUGAGACGCGAAAGCGUGGGGAGCGAACAGG